UAGAUUUACUAGGUGUAAUUCUCUGUGUGGUUCAUAAUACAUUAGAUUUACUAGGUGUAAUUCUCUGUGUGGUUCAUAAUACAGUAGAUUUACUAGGUGUAAUUCUCUGUGUGGUUCAUAAUACAGUAGAUUUACUAGGUGUAAUUCUCUGUGUGGUUCAUAAUACAGUAGAUUUACUAGGUGUAAUUCUCUGUGUGGUUCAUAAUACAGUAGAUUUACUAGGUGUAAUUCUCUGUGUGGUUCAUAAUACAGUAGAUUUACUAGGUGUAAUUCUCUGUGUGGUUCAUAAUACAGUAGAUUUACUAGGUGUAAUUCUCUGUGUGGUUCAUAAUACAGUAGAUUUACUAGGUGUAAUUCUCUGUGUGGUUCAUAAUACAGUAGAUUUACCAGGUGUAAUUCUCUGUGUGGUUCAUAAUACAGUAGAUUUACUAGGUGUAAUUCUCUGUGUGGUUCAUUAUACAGCAGUACAGGUCAUAAGUCAAGUCACUUUUCUCACCCCAUCUCCUCACCCUGACUAGCUGUUGGACAUGACAUGUACAGAAUGAAUGUAAACUACUGAUAUGCUGUUUAUCUGUUAGUGACUAUGAAUAUUUCAUUCAUUGUCAACUUGCAUGUCUUGUCUUUUUUUCUUGGAUGACUGUUUGACAUUAAAACUACCUUGGCACCAAAGGUUUGAUGGUAAACGGUGGUAAAGCCAGAUAAUUUUGUUCCUUAUGUUUCAUCGCAUUCCUCUUGCCAAGAAAAAAAGACUUCACACAGUUUGUUGGCUCUGAGAUUCCUGAUGAGAAGUAUCACUUAGGUUGUUGUCAGGAUUGUGGCAUCUGCUCUGACCCCCCUCCUCUCUUCCCUCCCCCCGUAACCAUCCCACUCCUCUCCUGCCUCCCCCCUAUACCCUCCUCUCCUUCCUGCCGCCCUAUCCCCCCACACUCCUCACCUGCCUCCCCCCUAUACCCUCCUCUCCUUCCUGCCGCCCUAUCCCCCCACACUCCUCACCUGCCUCCCCCCUAUACCCUCCUCUCCUUCCUGCCGCCCUAUCCCCCCACACUCCUCA